AACGUAGGUGGCGAGCGUUAUCCGGAUUCAUUGGGCGUAAAGAGCUUGUAGGUGGCCCCGUGAGUUGGACGUGAAAUCUCCCGGCUUAACCGGGAGGGGUCGUUCAAUACUGCGGGGCUGGAGGGUGUCAGAGGGGAGUGGAAUUCCUGGUGUAGCAGUGAAAUGCGUAGAUAUCAGGAGGAACACCCGUGGCGAAGGCGGCUCCCUGGGGCAGCCCUGACACUGAGAAGCGAAAGCUAGGGGAGCGAACGGG
rnacentral:rRNA from 1 species